GACGAACGCUGGCGGCGUGCUUAACACAUGCAAGUCGAACGGUGACCCUCGGAGCUUGCUUCGGGGUGAACAGUGGCGAACGGGUGAGUAGCACGUGAGUAACCUGCCCCUGACUCUGGAAUAAGCGCUGGAAACGGCGUCUAAUACCGGAUAUGACACGAACGGGCAUCCGUAUCGUGUGGAAAGUUUUUCGGUCUGGGAUGGACUCGCGGCCUACCAGCUUGUUGGUGAGGUAAUGGCUCACCAAGGCGAUGACGGGUAGCCGGCCUGAGAGGGCGACCGGCCACACUGGGACUGAGACACGGCCCAGACUCCUACGGGAGGCAGCAGUGGGGAAUAUUGCACAAUGGGCGAAAGCCUGAUGCAGCGACGCCGCGUGAGGGAUGACGGCCUUCGGGUUGUAAACCUCUUUCAGCAGGGAAGAAGCGAAAGUGACGGUACCUGCAGAAGAAGCACCGGCUAACUACGUGCCAGCAGCCGCCGCCGUAA
rnacentral:rRNA from 1 species